CUCGUAGGUGGCCAACUAAGUCAGACGUGAAAUCCCUCGGCUUAACCGGGGAACUGCGUCUGAUACUGGAUGGCUUGAGGUUGGGAGAGGGACGCGGAAUUCCAGGUGUAGCGGUGAAAUGCGUAGAUAUCUGGAGGAACACCGGUGGCGAAGGCGGCGUCCUGGACCAAUUCUGACAUUGAGGAGCGAAAGCCAGGGGAAGCAAACG
rnacentral:rRNA from 1 species